rnacentral:tRNA from 1 species
GAGCUGUUAGCCAAGUUGGGGAAGGCAUUGGUCUGCAAAACCAACAUUCAAGGGUUCGAUUCCCUUACGGCUCUCCA